rnacentral:tRNA from 1 species
AAAGCUCUAGUAAAUUAUUACAUAGCUCUGUCAGUGCUAAAUUAUAGGCCCCCGUCCUGUGAGCUUUU